rnacentral:hammerhead_ribozyme from 1 species
AUCCAAUUGAUGAGUCCCGAAUAGGACGAAAUGCACGUCUUGGAU